UGUGGUAUUUUAAUAGUUAAUUCCUCACAUUUUGCUUAGUUAAUUCAUUAACGAAUCGAUUUUUAACUCAAUUUCUAUUUUCUUAGGUACAUUGGAGUAAAUGAUGGUGAAAUGAGCAUUAGGUCCACACUUACCUAUAAAUGGUGGAGAAAAAUGGAAAUGUACUAAAAUGUCAAUUUUACACAUUUUCCUACUCCGGCUAGGAGAAACCAAGCCAAGCAAGGAAGAAGGAGCGGCCGCCGGACCAAAUGAACUUCAAAUGAGCUGAAACUUUCCAGAUCCAUUCUAGACAGCCCAAGGAUCAUUUCUUAUGAAGAGUGCAAGAACUUUUGUUGAGUGGAAGGCCUUCAAACAAUCAGCCCAAUUUUCUACAGAAGCAAAACUGGAAAACUGGACCUGUAAGAGGUCCAGCAGCAUUUUCGGCCCAACCACAUGGAAUAAAAAUCUGAAAUUUUACCAGGGUGAUCUACACUCAUAAUGGAACAUUUUUUAUGAAGAGGUCAUAGUGAAAUUGGGAAUGCUUGUUGGAGAAAUAAUUGAAGGAAUAAAGGGGCAGAAACUGAUCUAAAAAACAGCUCAACAUCACAUGUUCAUGUUUCCUACCCACAUGAAGAAAGCUAGAUGCUUUUCUCUUUUUCCUUGGAUAUAUUUUUCUGCUCCAAUAGAUCAUCAUCACUUCCAUACUUCUGCACAUUCAUGCCUUGCUUUCAUUUCAUCAUUACUCCAUCUUUUCCAUAUUUUACAAACCACUUUCAUUAUUUUUCUUCCAUUUAUCAUUUCACUCUUCUUUUUCUUCCCUAUAUAAACACCUUCUCCUCUCACUCUAAUACAUUCCUUCAUCCAUUCCAUCUUCUUUGUCUCUCCAUUUCCUUUCCAUUUUCCUUUCCAACAUCCUCUAGGGCAAGCCACGAAGUUCAAGCAAGGCCAAGGAAGAGAAGAACCAAGCCGUGAGCAUCAUCAUCCAUCCUCCACCUUUGAAGCUUGCUUUCGAGUCUCAAAGGAUUCAACGUUAUUCACCCAUCUUCAUCUUCCAUCCACGGUGUAAUUCGACCUCUACUUUGUAACCUUUGCUUUGUAUUUCUUUGGUUUUGCCUUAGUUGACAUAUAUGUUUGAACAAUUGUUAAUUUCUGGAAUUUUAUGAUUAAUUGAGAAUUUUCAGAUUCAUAUAUUGUGAUUCAAGAGUUGCUUAUGUGGGUUUGUUUAAUUAAAUUUGCAUUAUGGAUAACUUUUGUAUUUUAAUCUUAUGUGGUUGCAAACACUUAGGGUUUCGAUAUAAUUGGUGCUAGGUUUAAGAACAUGAAAUCGACUUUUCGUUUUGUGUAAACUUGAAUCAAAGUAGUAAAGGUUUUGUACAAAGAUCGAAUUUAAUUAAAGAGAAUUGCAAUUAGGUGGACUUUUCCAUACUAAGUUGUACACUUGAGUUGAUAGCCUUUCUCUAUGUGUAAUGCGUUAAACAUGACAUGAUUGACUAGCUUUCUAGGGUUUGAUUGCAUGUUUGAUAGGAUUAAUCUAGGUGCUUUCGCUUAGGUUAAUUAGCAUUGAAAAGUAAAAAAUGGGAAUUCAUUUGCUUUCGAAUGUUUCACAUGAUCAACUCCUUUCUCAUGACUUAGAUGAACAAUAUUAGGGUUUGAAUCAAUUUUAAUCAUAAGUUUCGGUUUUGAUCUUUGUUCUCUCAUUCCAUUCGUUUAAUUAUGUUUAUGUGUUUUAUUUGUUUUCUUAACUUAGUUUAUUUUCGAAUCCAAAAUCCAAAAUUCCCCCUUUUUCGUAAAUAUGUUUAUACUUGUGAAUAUCUUUGUGAUUAUAUUACUUUGUUUUAAUUUUAAUUGUUUAAUUGUUUGACAAUGACAGGUGUACCCUCAAUCCCCGGAAUAGAACGAUCCCUACUUGCUUAUACUACUAAUGAUAUUUAUAGGGUUAAAUUAUGCGCUUGCUUUGAGCGUAUCAAUUUUUGGCGCCGUUGCCGGGGAAUUGAAAAAUCACUUGUUUUUGUUUAUAAUUGUUGUAUAUAAACUGUUUGAUACUUAGUUUAAAUUAACUAGGUUGUUUUUUUUUAUUGUUGAAUACGAGUUUAAUUGUGAGUUGUAAAUUAAAGAAGGAAUAGGUGAAGUCGUGUUUAUUAAUAUUGGCCUAAACCCCUUAUUGGUACCUAGUUCAGGUCCCUUAAGGUUGAGGGCGGCCUUUAUUAACAUUCAUUGAACUGUCUAACACACUUAGGACCUUUUACAUCCUAGUAAGAAUAUCCUAUGUGAGAUGGUGUCUAGGAAGGGGAUAACGUUCAUGACGGGUUUUUGAAUCCAGAAGUGCUUAUAAAUGGGCUUAGCUCAUGCCAAAAUGGAUUUUUCCUCUCGUGUUCACCCUCCCCUACCUGGCCAUUUCAGUAAGGUUGCCCAACGGAUGUAGGAGGGACUUUGUGUCUAGACGACUAUACUUGGGCCGCACGUCCAUUUGAUUUACCGCUUGGAAUUAUAUUUGAUAUCAAUAAUGUUUAUAACAAAAGAAAUACUUGUGCAUACUCUUUACGUGUAAAUUAUUUUGUUGUUUCACACUUUAUACUUGUAAAAAUACUUUUUACGUUUUAUACUCACUUGUGUACUUAACUUGUGUCAUAUGUACAAAAUACUUGUUAAUUAUACUUGUAGUUUGUAAUUCAUAGUUACUUGUUUAUUUUUUUUUUGUAUUUCUUUGUUAAUAUUAAGUUACUAACUUUAUUUAAUGUAGGUACCGUCUGGCUGCAAGACGUAAAAUACAAGCGCUGCUUGGGAGGCAACCCAAUUCAGAAUAUAAUCAGAUUUGCUUUCUCUUCCCCUUUUACUCCUCCAUUUUCUUUUUGUUUUAGUAGUUAUUUUCGUAAAUUCCAUCACUAUAUGCUUACUUAUUUCAUUGCAUGCUUUUAAUUGAUUACAUUGAGGAUAAUGCAAUAUUUAAGUGUGGGGGAAGGGAUUUAUAUUUUUGUCUUUCAUUUUGAAUCCUAUAAAUAUUUUUGUCUUUCAUUUUGUGUCCUAUAAAUAUUUUUGAGUCCUAUAUUUUUAAUAAUAAUAAAAAAAAAAUAAAAAUAAAUAAAAAUAAAAUAAAAAUAAAAAUAAAAUAAAAUGCAUUCAUUCAGUCUUAUUAAAUUCAGCUUUUUACAAAAAAAAAAAAAAAUAAUAAUAAUAAUAAAAAAAAUUAAAAAAAAAAUAAUAAUAAAAAAAAAAAAAAAAAAUGCAUUCAUUCAGUCUUAUUAAUUUCAGCUAUUUACAAAAAAAAUAAAUAAAUAAAUAAAUAAAUAAUAAUAAGAAUAAUAAAAAAAAAAAUAAAAAAAAAUAAUAAUAAUAAUAAUAAUACUCUAUACUAAGCCAUGUCUGCAUCUCUGUAGGAGUUGAGGCUGAGCUCAAGGGAAAUGUGAGAGCCACCGCCAUAACCGCUACCUCCCUCGGAAGUAGUCUUCAUGAUGCCCAAGAUGUCCUCACCAUGCAUGGGGAACAAUGGAAGGGUUUCAAUCUCCUGGUGAUCUCCUCCUCGUUGUUGCUGGGAUGUUUGUCCUCCUGUUGUGCCAAAAGAGUUGUACUGGUAUUAGUGUUGAAGUGUGAGGAAGAAUAUGAAACAAAUUUUAAAUCAAGAAAUCAUUCAUUACCAGUAGAAUCGGUGGAACCAAAGUUGAGAUUAAUGGAUCUACCAUCAUCAGUAGAACUAGUGGACCCAAAAUUGAUGUCAAUGGAUCCACCAGCUGGCCCAAAAUUGAUGUCGAUGGAUCCACCAGCACCAGUAGAACCAGUGGACCCAAAAUUGAGAUCAAUGGAUCCACCAGUACCAGGAGAACUAGUUCCCAUGGGCACUUGAGCAGCCUGAUUGCACCUCUUCAUCUGCUUCUCUCGAGCCCUGACAUUCUGGAACCAAAAAUAAAUGUUCUUGCCCUCAACAUGUCCAUACUGGUUCAGCUGGAGACAGAUCUCGUGAAUAUGCUCUGUAGUUGGGCGCUUAACUCCCUUGUCGUAGUAAAGAUCCUUGAGGAUCCUUAUUUGAUCUGGAGUAGGAACCCACCUGGCACGGCUUCGCCAGAAAUCUGUGUUGGCACUACUCCCGGCUGCUUGGUUGUUUCCUCCAUCCUCGAUUUGUUGCUGGGUUUGUAGCUCCAUCAGUUGCAGAGUUCGUGGUUCCAUGGUGAUGGGUUGAGGGGAUGUGAAGAUCGAAGAGUAAAGUUGUCAAGUGUUUGAAGGAGUUGUUGUUAAAGGGAUUAAGGAUGAUGAUGGUGUGUUGGAGAUCUGAAAGUUCAGAGGAAAGAUGGGAUUGAAUCAACUAGAUGGGAGAGAAGAUCAGAAGAGAAGGAUUGAAUCGAAGAAGAAAUAUUUUGAGUUUUGAAAGAAGAGGAAAAGCUGAAGAGUUGGGAGAGAGGGGCUGGAACUCAGGAGAGAUUUUCGUUCCUUUGGAGUGAACAGUUGCGCCCUCAGAAUGCACCUAUUUAUAGAGCGAGGUGAGCAGAUCUCCACCGUUGGAUGGACGAUUCCUGUGAUUCAUUCUACGCGUUGGAUUAAAGUCGCCCUGAAACCCGGAAAAGUUGUUGGCGCGUGGAGAGCGUGUAAGGGGACCGAGGGAAUCUCGAGGCGCUGUGGCAGACAGCUGUAGCCGAAAGCAGAUUUGACUGCCGUAAAUCACGGAAGGGAUAAGCCGUGACACAAGUGGGCCGUACUUGGGCCUGUCUCGGAUCAAGGCAUCACUGUAGCUGUGGGUGGAGGCCUGAUGGGCCGAGUUUCAGAAACAGUUUUGGACCUGAUGGGCUGAGUUUCAGAAACAGUUUUGGACAUGAUGGGCCGAGUUUCUGAAACAGUUUUGGAUGAGUUGGGCUGGGUUUCUGCAACAGUCUUGGAUGUUUUGUGCCGAAUUGUUGAAACAGUUGAAACAGUUGGUUUAAAUAAAAGGAUUGGUAUGGAUAAUAACGUGAGCAGCCGUGCUCGAGUGGUUGAGUGUAAAGUUCGUGUACAAGAGGUCUGAGGUUCGAACCUCGCCUCUCGUUUAUUUUUAUUAUGUUCGUUUAUGACAUAAUAAGUAUAAAAUUUGUACACAUUAUAUUAAGCACAACUUGUGCUCCAGUGGUUGGGGACAAAGGUUUCGUGUAGCAGGUUAAGGUUUCGAACCUUGCCUCCCCCGUUUUUUUUUAUUUAUGUCACUCCAUCAGAACCCUCCUCCGAAGGCUGAAACCAGCAAGAAGGCUGCCACUCGCCCGCAUACCGCUCCUCCAAAGGAGUAAAUGGAGGUACAAGUCUAGGCUGAAAGACUUUAAACAUUAAGCGCUGCAUGGGAGGCAACCCAUCUCAACCGUAGCUGUGGAGGAGCCAUCAACGCAGAUUUGCUCUCUUAAACUCUAUCUCCUCUAUUACUAUUUUCUGAUUGUAUCUUUGUUAUUUGCGUUUUUAGUUUUUGUUUUUAGGUUUUCUUGAGUUAAUCAUUCCAUUCACAUGAUAAUUGUUCAUUGCAUGCUCUAACUUGUUUAACAUUGAGGACAAUGUAUGAUUUAAGUGUGGGGGGAAGGAUUAAUGCUUGUAGUUAGUUUUUGUCAUAAAAAGAAAACAAAACAAAAAAAAAAAAAAUCGAAAAAUGUCAGAAAAAUAAAAAAUUUCGUUGCUUUUGUUUUUGUUUUGAGUCUUAGGAUGCCUUUCAACUGUCUGGGAUGAUUCUAUAUCUCUGAAAUCAUGACUAAAAGAGGAUCACAACAUUGAGAUGAUUUUAAACAUGGUAUUCUUUGGUUAAUUGAGAUAUAUGAAAAAUGUGUGCCUUGUAGUGGAUAUGGAUUGCAUGACCUUGGUACAGAAUAUGAGCAUGUUAAGAUGAGUUGUGAUUCAUAAAGCCCAUGUGAGAUAAUUGAACCAUGUCCCUUUUUCUUGGAGUGAAAUGAAAAAUAUAUUCUUAAUUUCUUGGCGAUGUUUUGAUGAUCUCAUUAUUCUUUCAUCUUGAUUGACUGCUUGCCAUAGAUUAAGUUUAAUUGACUAGAGAAUGCUAGAAUUCGCUCUUGUGCUUGUUGAGACGUGAUAUCAAUACAUGGCCCUGAUUCUGGAAGGGAUAGAGGUUCUCUAGGAAUUACCACCAUUGCCAAAUAAACUUGUGUCCCCAUUUGUGCCCGUCGUGGGACCCCCCUAGAUAAGCCCCUUUGAGCCUACAUUAAGCAUUUUCGUUCAUCACCCUUAAAAUCCUUAACCAUGAAGCUUAGUAUAGUUACAACCCUACCCUUUGUUCUAAGGACUUAGUGGAGCUAUCUUUUGAGACAUACUACAUGGGUUUGGUGCUAAGGAUGAAGAUUGAGAAGAGGUGAAAGUUCAAGUGUGGGGAUAGACUUGUCCAUAAAGAAAAAGAUAUGUUGAAGCCGUGAAAAAUGAAAAGAAAAGAGAAAAAUUGUGUACGGCUAAAAAGAAAAAAAAAAAAUAUAUAUAUAUGUUUAUGGACUUUCAUCCCCCAUACUUAGUGAUUUUGGAGUUUGCUUUGAAUUGAAGGCCCACUACAGAAAAAUUUGGCCUUUGUCCAUUUCACUAGAGUUCAAGGGAAGUUUAUAUUGAAGAUUGGGCCCAACAUGAAGACAUUUGGCCCUCUUAUAUUACCUCUAUGGAGAAGUGACGUUUUUGCAAUGCCUUGGUGAAAUAUUUCGAGAUCUCUACAUUCAUAUGAGCUCUACUAGGUUUUUAGGACACUUUGAUAAUCCUUACCUUUCAUUUCUUUAAACCUUGAGCCUUAGCCCCAUUACAACCUUUGAGAGGACCUUCUUGAUCCAUAAGAUGGGACAGCCUUUGAUGUGGAGAUGAGUUACAAGAGUUGAACCUAUGGCUUGGGUCCAUUCGUGCAAGUAGUUGAUAUCCUUCAUGAGAUCUUUUGAAAAAAAUUAUAUUCACAAAGUGCUUUUCGUUUCUUAUAUAUGUGAGCUAUUUGACUGCCUUAAAAUAUGUUCUCUCACAUAUAAAUGAGUGAUUAUAAGCUUUUAAGCAUUGCCUUGAUCUGAGAGAAGAAAAAGUGGAUAUACCUUGUGAGGAUAUGAAUCAUACUUGUCUGAAGCAUGCUAAGCUAAACCCCAAUCACCAUUAUUACAACCAAGUCCUACUUGUGUAUGUGUGGAUCAUAUGUUUUAAUUAACUCUCGAAUGCUUAACAUUGAUUCUUGGUUGAGUGCUAAUCUUGGUGUUGUGAAAGUAAGAGAUUUCUGAGACAAUAUGUUAAAGGGCAAUAGAGGUCUUUGUGAUGUCAACAUCUUGGUCUUUGUCUUUGAAUUUACUCUUUUAUGUGUGACGUUUUUUUUUUUUUUUUUUUUUUUUUUUUUUUUCUUUGUGUUUUGCUUUGUGUUUUACGUUUUUGGUUUCUUUGAGUCUUUGUGUUUUUGUUUCCAUACUUAGUCAUUUUUUUCGUUGGUUUCUUUGUUUUGUGUCAUAGUCUUUUUGGUUUGUUAGUUUUUGAUUUUGCUAAGGGACUAGCAAAAGCUAAGUGUGGGGGAAUUUGAUAGGAGCAUUUUAAUGUGGUAUUUUAAUAGUUAAUUCCUCACAUUUUGCUUAGUUAAUUCCUUAACGAAUCGAUUUUUAACUCAAUUUCUAUUUUCUUAGGUACAUUGGAGUAAAUGAUGGUGAAAUGAGCAUUAGGUCCACACUUACCUAUAAAUGGUGGAGAAAAAUGGAAAUGUACUAAAAUGUCAAUUUUACACAUUUUCCUACUCCGGCUAGGAGAAACCAAGCCAAGCAAGGAAGAAGGAGCGGCCGCCGGACCAAAUGAACUUCAAAUGAGCUGAAACUUUCCAGAUCCAUUCUAGACAGCCCAAGGAUCAUUUCUUAUGAAGAGUGCAAGAACUUUUGUUGAGUGGAAGGCCUUCAAACAAUCAGCCCAAUUUUCUACAGAAGCAAAACUGGAAAACUGGACCUGUAAGAGGUCCAGCAGCAUUUUCGGCCCAACCACAUGGAAUAAAAAUCUGAAAUUUUACCAGGGUGAUCUACACUCAUAAUGGAACAUUUUUUAUGAAGAGGUCAUAGUGAAAUUGGGAAUGCUUGUUGGAGAAAUAAUUGAAGGAAUAAAGGGGCAGAAACUGAUCUAAAAAACAGCUCAACAUCACAUGUUCAUGUUUCCUACCCACAUGAAGAAAGCUAGAUGCUUUUCUCUUUUUCCUUGGAUAUAUUUUUCUGCUCCAAUAGAUCAUCAUCACUUCCAUACUUCUGCACAUUCAUGCCUUGCUUUCAUUUCAUCAUUACUCCAUCUUUUCCAUAUUUUACAAACCACUUUCAUUAUUUUUCUUCCAUUUAUCAUUUCACUCUUCUUUUUCUUCCCUAUAUAAACACCUUCUCCUCUCACUCUAAUACAUUCCUUCAUCCAUUCCAUCUUCUUUGUCUCUCCAUUUCCUUUCCAUUUUCCUUUCCAACAUCCUCUAGGGCAAGCCACGAAGUUCAAGCAAGGCCAAGGAAGAGAAGAACCAAGCCGUGAGCAUCAUCAUCCAUCCUCCACCUUUGAAGCUUGCUUUCGAGUCUCAAAGGAUUCAACGUUAUUCACCCAUCUUCAUCUUCCAUCCACGGUGUACCCUCAAUCCCCGGAAUAGAACGAUCCCUACUUGCUUAUACUACUAAUGAUAUUUAUAGGGUUAAAUUAUGCGCUUGCUUUGAGCGUAUCACAGGCCAUGCUCGGCCGGCUUGAUGGGUGGAUCGAGAUGGUGUUGCCGGAUCGGAAGUCACUUGGUGGUGAUGGAAGUUUGGCGGCUUUGCUGGGUUCGUUUCGGCUCGGAUUGGAGCGUUUGGAUCCGAUCUUGGUUAGGCGGAUCAGACCCGAUCUGGGGAUGGGUGGUGCUGGUUGCCGGCGAGAUGAGGGAGCGUCAUGUGGGUGGUGCUGUUGCUUCCGGUGGUGGGACGGUACAGGCAUGAGUAGGCCUCAUCAUAUGGCCCUAAGCCCGCCCGGGCCGUAGGGCCGAAGCCCGGCCCUUCCAUUAGGGUGGGCCGGUCCGACCCUUUUUUAUUUAGGAUAGGGUAUGGGUCACACAAAUAAAGCCCGGCCCUACCCUACGGCCCGGCCCGAUUGAGCCCGUAAGGGCUAGGCCCGUCCCGGCCCUAAAAGCCCGGCCCUAACAUUUAUAUUUUAUUUUUGUUAUUUUCUAUUACAUGUGUUAUAUGUAUAAAACUAUGGAAGUGUAGAAAAUUAUUUCAAUUUGCCAUAUUAGGAAAUGAGUCUUUUAAAUUGAGCCAUAUUUUGAGAAGAAUAAAAUAAAUUUUUUUUAAGAA